rnacentral:lncRNA from 1 species
GGAAGGGAGUAUCACUUUACACACUGGAGGAGAUGGGAGAGUGUGAGGAGGACCUGGACUCCACAUCCUCAUCCCCAAACAUCUCCAGCCCUUUGACUCAGCCCCGAGUGCCCCCCACUCCCCCUUCUACCCCAUCCACUACCUCUUGUCCCUCUAGCACCUUUCCACCUUCCGAUCUCUACCAUCCCUCUCCUCUCUGCCCUCCCUCCUCUCCCACCAUAGGGAAGACACUAACCCCUUUCCUGCUUUGUCAAACCAGGGCCAACCUCAAGCAUCCUUCGUUCCCAACCCUAAGACCUGUCAACUCCACCAACGGAGGGUCCCCUGUGUCCUUGACACAGUCGGGUGGAAGUAAGGGAUUCAGUCCCCUCUCUUUACUCCAACUCAAGACCAAGGCCCCUGGUGAGGCUUGGAGGAGUCCCGGUCUGAGGGAGGGGUUGACCACCUUCACCGUGGUGCCCCGAGGGCAGUCACUGAUAGGGCACAGGGGCUUGGAGGCGGACCUGACCCUGGCGAAGACCCAGGCCUUAGACCCAGCACAAACCAUUGAUGAACCCUCUAAUGGUGUUGCUGAGCCUGGGUUGGAGCACCACCGGACAAUGAAGAAGACACCUGUAUUGCUGGAGAGGUCAUCCCACCAGCCUCCACUGCUUUACACAGGAAAGAAGGGAAGGGCAUAUCUUUAUGUGAGUGUGUACAUUUUACAGUGGUAUUUUUUUUCUCUCUGGAAAGACGUCAUUUGUUACAUUAAAUGGCGACCUACGCCUUUCUAAACAGUCCUGCCAGGCUGGUAUUCUUCUGAGACACCUUGGUGUUUGUCUGUUAUCUUUAUGUGGUAUAUGGCCCUGUGGAAUACCUCUGUGGACACGCUCACACUCUGUGUGACCUGGUGGAGGAAGGACUUCAUCUAAACUGGUGAUAUUUGUGUCUCUUGUCCCACAGGGGCCAUAAUGGCUUCUUAGUAAAUCUGUGAAUGGAAGUUCCUGUUUAGAGUGAGGCGACUGCAGUGAAGUAGUAGUAGUCGGCCACCACAUAGUCACAUGACCUCCAAGUGGACCCCACUUAUAGGAACCCAGGCCCCUUGUUUUGCACGGGGAGUCAGCACGUUAUAGAAACGUUUAUCCAAGACUUCAUCCAAGAGUUUGGUUAGUGUACAGGUCAUUUUAUGUUCACUGAAUGUUUGUUUUUUUGAAUCAUGCUACCUGUAUUAACCGGAGGCAGUGCUGCCUUAUGUUAUUAAGAUGUUUGACUUACAAAUGAGCCAACAGGAAACUCCAUGUACAAAAAUGUAUAUCCCAUAAAUACUGUACUACCAAGGUCAAAUAAGAAAUGCAUCGUCAUUUCUUAUUUGACCUUGGUAGUACAGUAUUUAUGGGAUAUACAUUUUUGUACAUGGAGUUUCCUGUUGGCUCAUUUGUGUUGAAAUGUGCCAAAACCGAGAUUAAAUCAUAUGUAAUCUCUCAUUUUAUUUUGAUAAUUUUUUUUUUUCUGUCAAUUUCCUUCUACGUAUCACACCUUUUCUGAGUGAAUAAUUUUUUCCCAGACAUCAUUACUAUAUAAUAUAAAAAUGAUCAACCAUAAUCAACUAAGGUGUGUUGCUUUUUUUUGCCACUGGAGAGCAGGAGCACACUUCACAAAUAAGUAAUGUACAGAACCUCUGAGUGAGCUGUUUUGUGAUCCACACUUGAUAAAUUAAUAGCAUUGACAUAUCCCGAUAUUUAAGAAGAGCAUCAAUUAUACAUUUUCUUUGUCUUUACUGGUUAUACUUUUUUUUUUUUAAAUGCAUUAGUGUGUUUCAGUUCAAGCCUUGUUUUUAUUGUCCAUAAUUGAGUUAUGGUUGGUAUUUGACAAGGAUAUUCUACCGGGAGCUAUGUGUAGAACGUUGAUGGAAGAUAAUGCACAUGAUGUGAAAAAUAAUGUCCUUGUUAUGCAUUCUAUGUUGUUCAGAGUGCAACACUACAGAAUAAACUGAGAAUAUACAGUGUUAAAUCUUGUACUGUUGACAUAUUGUACCUCUGCCCGAAGGCUGCACUGUGUAACAGUAUGGAUGGGUGCUGAGUGCAUCCACAGUAUAUUGAUUCAGCUCUGGCCUUAGAGACAGCCGGCAAGCAGCAGUUGCUACAUACAGUCAGACCUAGCCAGAGCAGAUGCAGCCUGUGGUUAAAGCCUCUUACUACCAUACCAGGGCAGAGGGCUGGGAUACAGUCCUCGCCUCUAGCUUCAUCCUUUUC